rnacentral:rRNA from 1 species
AUUGAACGCUGGCGGCAGGCCUAACACAUGCAAGUCGAGCGAGCGGCGGACGGGUGAGUAAUGUCUGGGAACCUGCCUGAUGGAGGGGGAUAACUACUGGAAACGGUAGCUAAUACCCCAUACCAUCAGAUGUGCCCCGAUGGGAUUAGCUAGUAGGUGGGGUAACGGCUCACCUAGGCGACGAUCCCUAGCUGGUCUGGGAGGAUGACCAGCAACACGGGAACUGAGACACGGUCCAGACACCUACGGGAGGCAGCAGUGGGGAAGAUUGCACAAUGGGCGAAAGCCUGAUGCAGCCAUGCCGCGUGUAUGAAGAAGGCCUUCGGGUUGUAAAGUACGUUCAGCGGGGAGGCGUUACCCGCAGAAGAAGCACCGGCUAACUCCGUGCCAGCAGCCGCGGUAAUUC